rnacentral:rRNA from 1 species
UGGGAGCUUGCUCCCUGAUGUUAGCGGCGGACGGGUGAGUAACACGUGGGUAACCUGCCUGUAAGACUGGGAUAACUCCGGGAAACCGGGGCUAAUACCGGAUGGUUGUUUGAACCGCAGGUUCAGACAUAAAAGGUGGCUUCGGCUACCACUUACAGAUGGACCCGCGGCGCAUAGCUAGUUGGUGAGGUAACGGCUCACCAAGGCGACGAUGCGUAGCCGACCUGAGAGGGUGAUCGGCCACACUGGGACUGAGACACGGCCCAGACUCCUACGGGAGGCAGCAGUAGGGAAUCUUCCGCAAUGGACGAAAGUCUGACGGAGCAACGCCGCGUGAGUGAUGAAGGUUUUCGGAUCGUAAAGCUCUGUUGUUAGGGAAGAACAAGUGCCGUUCAAAUAGGGCGGCACCUUGACGGUACCUAACCAGAAAGCCACGGCUAACUACGUGCCAGCAGCCGCGGUAAUACGUAGGUGGCAAGCGUUGUCCGGAAUUAUUGGGCGUAAAGGGCUCGCAGGCGGUUUCUUAAGUCUGAUGUGAAAGCCCCCGGCUCAACCGGGGAG